rnacentral:piRNA from 1 species
UAGCAGUGGAGGCCCUUAGACAUGU